rnacentral:tRNA from 1 species
GCAGUGGUGGUUCAGUGGUGGAAUUCUAGCCUUCCAUGCAGGAGACCCAGGUUGGAUUUCCGGCCAGUGCA